AGUGCCCUAAAGACCAACUGGAUAGAAGGAGAGCGGAGCAGAGGCUUGGAAGCUUGGAUCCCUCCUCCUGCACUCCCUCCCGGCCCCGACUCCGGAACAAAACAAGCAAACAAUAAAGCAAACUUGUUGCUCUUUUGUCUCAAAGUUUUGUGUGAGUUCCCAUCUCGUAAUCAGUGGGGUUGAGGGUGACGGGGAGCAGAAGUAACUAAUAUCAUUGUGUUUUCUUAGUUACAUUUUGGACAAAUUUUUACGGAUACUGGAGAUGAGAAGUGGACUCUGCUCUGUCCUGAAAACCUGGAAUCAUAACAUUUCAUGGCUAGGACUAGAGUGUCCUUGGCGCUGUGUUUCUGGUCAGUGUCAAUUGUGUGUCAUAUUGAGAUGCCCCCACAAAAACUGUCAUCAUCAACAGGCGCUCCAGAGCCGCUGGUAGCCUACCAAAUUGUUGGCUCAAUGGAAUGCUUACUUGUUGAAAUACACCAACUUUGGAAGCUCUGAGUCAAGUUUGGGACAGAGGUUCCUUGCUCUCCAGGAACUCCAGGGCUAGCUGUAUGCGGACUUGCAUAAAUAACAAGGGCUAUUCCACUGACUUUGUCUCUUUUUCUCAGGUUGUCAGCGGCAGGCUGCAAUUUUAAUUCUGUAAACGUGGCUGGCUCAGCAGGGAAGGAGUGUAUGAGGAGACUGUGUA
rnacentral:lncRNA from 1 species